GACGAACGCUGGCGGCGUGCCUAAUACAUGCAAGUUGAGCGCUGAAGGUUGGUACUUGUACCAACUGGAUGAGCAGCGAACGGGUGAGUAACGCGUGGGGAAUCUGCCUUUGAGCGGGGGACAACAUUUGGAAACGAAUGCUAAUACCGCAUAAAAACUUUAAACACAAGUUUUAAGUUUGAAAGAUGCAAUUGCAUCACUCAAAGAUGAUCCCGCGUUGUAUUAGCUAGUUGGUGAGGUAAAGGCUCACUAAGGCGAUGAUACAUGGCCGACCUGAGAGGGUGAUCGGCCACAUUGGGACUGAGACACGGCCCAAACUCCUACGGGAGGCAGCAGUAGGGAAUCUUCGGCAAUAGACGAAAGUCUGACCGAGCAACGCCGCACGAGUGAAGAAGGUUUUCGGAUCGUAAAACUCUGUUGGUAGAGAAGAACGUUGGUGAGAGUGGAAAGCUCAUCAAGUGACGGUAACUACCCAGAAAGGGACGGCUAACUACGUG
rnacentral:rRNA from 1 species